AUUGCAUGCAAAGCAUCUCACUCUCAAACACCAAGGCUGACAAUGAAGGUGUCUAUUUUAGAAGCUGAACAGCAUUGUUCAGGGACAUCUCUUGAAAAGAGAGAAUGGUGGAAAGGGAAGGGUAAAAAUGAUUUCCUACUAUAGCAGGCCCCCUUGAAGGCCUCCAGGCUAGAUGCAAUGCCAAUAUGCUCCAGCAUUCCUUUCCACAAAUGUACAGCUGACAGAAGUAGGAAUGUCUAAGGAAAGGGUCAGUUAAACGGACCUAUAGAUACGGCUGACAACCCAACCUCUCCUGCUUACCAAUCUUUCCGGCCACACUGCUCAUGUUAACGAUGUGUCCCUCCCCCCUCGCCAGCAUGUGCGGCAGUG